rnacentral:rRNA from 1 species
GAUGAACGCUGGCGGCGUGCCUAAUACAUGCAAGUCGAGCGAACAGACGAGGAGCUUGCUCCUCUGACGUUAGCGGCGGACGGGUGAGUAACACGUGGAUAACCUACCUAUAAGACUGGGAUAACUUCGGGAAACCGGAGCUAAUACCGGAUAAUAUAUUGAACCGCAUGGUUCAAUAGUGAAAGACGGUUUUGCUGUCACGUAUAGAUGGAUCCGCGCCGCAUUAGCUAGUUGGUAAGGUAACGGCUUACCAAGGCGACGAUGCGUAGCCGACCUGAGAGGGUGAUCGGCCACACUGGAACUGAGACACGGUCCAGACUCCUACGGGAGGCAGCAGUAGGGAAUCUUCCGCAAUGGGCGAAAGCUUGACGGAGCACCGCCGCGUGAGUGAUGAAGGUCUUCGGAUCGUAAAACUCUGUUAUUAGGGAAGAACAAAUGUGUAAGUAACUAUGCACGUCUUGACGGUACCUAAUCAGAAAGCCACGGCUAACUACGUG